AGAGCGAACGCUGGCGGCAGGCCUAACACAUGCAAGUCGAACGGACCCUUCGGGGUUAGUGGCGGACGGGUGAGUAACACGUGGGAACGUGCCUUUAGGUUCGGAAUAGCUCCUGGAAACGGGUGGUAAUGCCGAAUGUGCCCUUCGGGGGAAAGAUUUAUCGCCUUUAGAGCGGCCCGCGUCUGAUUAGCUUGUUGGUGAGGUAAUGGCUCACCAAGGCUACGAUCAGUAGCUGGUCUGAGAGGAUGACCAGCCACAUUGGGACUGAGACACGGCCCAAACUCCUACGGGAGGCAGCAGUGGGGAAUCUUGCGCAAUGGGCGAAAGCCUGACGCAGCCAUGCCGCGUGUAUGAUGAAGGUCUUAGGAUUGUAAAAAUACUUUCACCGGUGAAGAUAAUGACUGUAGCCGGAGAAGAAGCCCCGGAUAACUUCGUGCCAGCAGCCGC
rnacentral:rRNA from 1 species